rnacentral:miRNA from 1 species
CUUGCAUGUGGGCCUGUGUGCU